CUUCGGUCUGGUGGCGAGUGGCGAACGGGUGACUAAUCCAUCGGAACGUGUCCUGGAGUGGGGGAUAGCCCGGCGAAAGCCGGAUUAAUACCGCAUACGCUCUGAGGAGGAAACGGGGGGAUCGA
rnacentral:rRNA from 1 species